rnacentral:rRNA from 1 species
UACGGAGGGUGCAAACGUUGCUCGGAAUCAUUGGGCGUAAAGCGCACGUAGGCGGCUCGUUAAGUCGGGUGUGAAAGCCCUGGGCUCAACCCAGGAAGUGCAUACGAAACUGGCGAGCUUGAGUAUGGAAGAGGGUCGCGGAAUUCCCGGUGUAGAGGUGAAAUUCGUAGAUAUCGGGAGGAACACCAGUGGCGAAGGCGGCGACCUGGGCCAAUACUGACGCUGAGGUGCGAAAGCGUGGGGAGCAAACAGG